rnacentral:pre_miRNA from 12 species
GCACUUGCCAAGAACUCUCUCUGUGACUUGUGUCCUUUUUUUCGAAACUCACAUCACAGUCUGAGUUCUUGCUGAGAGC